rnacentral:rRNA from 1 species
GAUGAACGCUGGCGGCGUGCCUAAUACAUGCAAGUAGAACGCUGAAGGAGGAGCUUGCUCUUCUGGAUGAGUUGCGAACGGGUGAGUAACGCGUAGGUAACCUGCCUGGUAGCGGGGGAUAACUAUUGGAAACGAUAGCUAAUACCGCAUGACAACAGUUAUUGCAUGAUAACUGUUUAAAAGGGGCAACUGCUCCACUACCAGAUGGACCUGCGUUGUAUUAGCUAGUUGGUGAGGUAACGGCUCACCAAGGCGACGAUACAUAGCCGACCUGAGAGGGUGAUCGGCCACACUGGGACUGAGACACGGCCCAGACUCCUACGGGAGGCAGCAGUAGGGAAUCUUGGGCAAUGGACGGAAGGCUGACCGAGCAACGCCGCGUGAGUGAAGAAGGUUUUCGGAUCGUAAAGCUCUGUUGUAAGAGAAGAACGAGUGUGAGAGUGGAAAGUUCACACUGUGACGGUAUCUUACCAGAAAGGGACGGCUAACUACGUG